rnacentral:tRNA from 1 species
GCCUGGAUGGCUCAGUGGUUGAGCGUCUGCCUUCAGCUCAGGUCGUGAUCCCUGGGUCCUGGGAUCGAGUCCCACAUCAGGCU